rnacentral:rRNA from 1 species
GUGUCAGCAGCCGCGGUAAUACGUAGGUGUCAAGCGUUAUCCGGAAUUACUGGGCGUAAAGGGCGCGCAGGCGGCCGGGCAAGUCUCGUGUGAAAGCCUCCGGCUUAACCGGGGGAGGUCGCGAGAUACUGCUUGGCUUGAGACAGUGAGAGGGAGGCGGAAUUCCCGGUGUAGUGGUGGAAUGCGUAGAUAUCGGGAAGAACACCAGUGGCGAAGGCGGCCUCCUGGCACUGUUCUGACGCUGAGGUGCGAAAGCGUGGGGAGCGAACGGGAUUAGAUACCCCGGUAGUCCACGCUGUAAACGAUGUGAACUAGGUGUGGGCAGCAUUGACCCUGUCCGUGCCGCAGCCAACGCGAUAAGUUCACCGCCUGGGGACUACGGCCGCAAGGCUAAAACUCAAAGGAAUUGACGGGG